rnacentral:rRNA from 1 species
UACGUAGGGGGCAAGCGUUGUCCGGAAUUAUUGGGCGUAAAGAGCUCGUAGGCGGUGUGUCGCGUCGGCCGUGAAAACCUGCAGCUUAACUGUGGGCUUGCGGUCGAUACGGGCAUCACUGGAGUUCGGCAGGGGAGACUGGAAUUCCUGGUGUAGCGGUGAAAUGCGCAGAUAUCAGGAGGAACACCGGUGGCGAAGGCGGCAUCCUGGACCAACACUGACGCUGAGGAGCGAAAGCCAGGGGAGCAAACGGG